UCUCUUAAAGCGACAUCUGUCCACUUUUGCUUAUACGUUGCGUUUCAUUUAAAAAAAUUGAAGAGAUAUGGGUUACAGCUUUUAUGUGGGUUUUAGGCUAAAACCCAUCCCGAUAGUGAGCGUGUAACAUCUCUACACGGCGAUUCUGAUUUUAGGGAUUGAGUCGACGAAGUCGGUGCGAUGAAUCUGUUGGUAGAGAUUUUUCUCACGUCAUUCAAUCUUCUUCCUCAUUGACAGAUACAUCAUCUUAAAGCCCUUCAUGACUCCAUCCACCAUAAUUUAUUAUUUAAUAUGAAGAUGUAUACCUGUGACUAUAAAAAAGUUCGACAUCCUCCUCUCAAAAUCAGCUUCUCAAUCUGAUUAACUUGCAAAGUAAACUUAAUCUCUGAGAAAUGGCUAAAGUCAAAAGUGCUUCUCAUACCUUAUUCGUCUCAGCGACCUCGACUCCUCGCCAUGGCACCCCCGCAACUUCUCUUGCGACUUCUCCAGUCAUCUUUGUUGCCGCUCCGAUUGAUCUCCGGUGGUCCAACCGUGAUUACCUCAUUCCUUUGUCGUGUUUAAGAUUUCUCAGUGGCGUGAGGGCGUUCAUCUUUCUCACCGCUUCGAUCUUCUAAGAUCACGACCAACAGCCAUCUCAGCUCCCAAAAUCAUCGCUCUCACCUCCAAUUGCAGAGGAGCUCAAGCCGUGUUUUUUCCUUCAUCAGGCAACAAGCCUCAUCCCGUGAAGAGUUUAAUAUCGGCCUAAAUAAAUGUGGAAGAUCCUAGAUCUGAUAAACAACUUAAGUUACACUUAUUUGCAGUUUGGUCAUUUCUCUUUUUUUUCUUCUUGAAUUCAGUCUCACCUAACUAAAGGAACACUCCACGUGUAUAUGCGAUUAAACACAUAUAAACGUUUUUUUUUU
rnacentral:lncRNA from 1 species